rnacentral:rRNA from 1 species
AGUCGAGCGGAUGAAGAGAGCUUGCUCUCUGAUUCAGCGGCGGACGGGUGAGUAAUGCCUAGGAAUCUGCCUGGUAGUGGGGGACAACGUUUCGAAAGGAACGCUAAUACCGCAUACGUCCUACGGGAGAAAGCAGGGGACCUUCGGGCCUUGCGCUAUCAGAUGAGCCUAGGUCGGAUUAGCUAGUUGGUGAGGUAAUGGCUCACCAAGGCGACGAUCCGUAACUGGUCUGAGAGGAUGAUCAGUCACACUGGAACUGAGACACGGUCCAGACUCCUACGGGAGGCAGCAGUGGGGAAUAUUGGACAAUGGGCGAAAGCCUGAUCCAGCCAUGCCGCGUGUGUGAAGAAGGUCUUCGGAUUGUAAAGCACUUUAAGUUGGGAGGAAGGGCAGUAAAUUAAUACUUUGCUGUUUUGACGUUACCGACAGAAUAAGCACCGGCUAACUCUGUGCCAGCAGCCGCGGUAAUACAGAGGGUGCAAGCGUUAAUCGGAAUUACUGGGCGUAAAGCGCGCGUAGGUGGUUUGUUAAGUUGGAUGUGAAAGCCCCGGGCUCAACCUGGGAACUGCAUUCAAAACUGACAAGCUAGAGUAUGGUAGAGGGUGGUGGAAUUUCCUGUGUAGCGGUGAAAUGCGUAGAUAUAGG